AGCGGCGGACGGGUGAGUAAUGCCUAGGAAUCUGCCUGUUAGUGGGGGAUAACGCGGGGAAACUCGCGCUAAUACCGCAUACGUCCUACGGGAGAAAGUGGGGGACCCUCGGGCCUCACGCUAACAGAUGAGCCUAGGUCGGAUUAGCUAGUUGGUGGGGUAAAGGCCCACCAAGGCGACGAUCCGUAACUGGUCUGAGAGGAUGAUCAGUCACACUGGAACUGAGACACGGUCCAGACUCCUACGGGAGGCAGCAGUGGGGAAUAUUGGACAAUGGGCGAAAGCCUGAUCCAGCCAUGCCGCGUGUGUGAAGAAGGUCUUCGGAUUGUAAAGCACUUUAAGUUGGGAGGAAGGGCGCUCGGUGAAUACCCAAGCGUCUUGACGUUACCGACAGAAUAAGCACCGGCUAACUUCGUGCCAGCAGCCGCGGUAAUACGAAGGGUGCAAGCGUUAAUCGGAAUUACUGGGCGUAAAGCGCGCGUAGGUGGUUCGGCAAGUUGGAUGUGAAAGCCCCGGGCUCAACCUGGGAACCGCAUCCAAAACUACUGGGCUAGAGUACGGUAGAGGGUGGUGGAAUUUCCUGUGUAGCGGUGAAAUGCGUAGAUAUAGGAAGGAACACCAGUGGCGAAGGCGACCACCUGGACCGAUACUGACACUGAGGUGCGAAAGCGUGGGAGCAAACAGGAUUAGAUACCCUGGUAGUCCACGCCGUAAACGAUGUCGACUAGCCGUUGGGCUCCUUGAGAGCUUAGUGGCGCAGCUAACGCAUUAAGUCGACCGCCUGGGGAGUACGGCCGCAAGGUUAAAACUCAAAUGAAUUGACGGGGGCCCGCACAAGCGGUGGAGCAUGUGGUUUAAUUCGAAGCAACGCGAAGAACCUUACCUGGCCUUGACAUCCUGCGAACUUUCAAGAGAUUGAUGGGUGCCUUCGGGAGCGCAGAGACAGGUGCUGCAUGGCUGUCGUCAGCUCGUGUCGUGAGAUGUUGGGUUAAGUCCCGUAACGAGCGCAACCCUUGUCCUUAGUUACCAGCGAUUCGGUCGGGCACUCUAAGGAGACUGCCGGUGACAAACCGGAGGAAGGUGGGGAUGACGUCAAGUCAUCAUGGCCCUUACGGCCAGGGCUACACACGUGCUACAAUGGUCGGUACAAAGGGUUGCCAAGUCGCGAGGCGGAGCUAAUCCCAGAAAACCGAUCGUAGUCCGGAUCGCAGUCUGCAACUCGACUGCGUGAAGUCGGAAUCGCUAGUAAUCGCGAAUCAGAAUGUCGCGGUGAAUACGUUCCCGGGCCUUGUACACACCGCCCGUCACACCAUGGGAGUGGGUUGCUCCAGAAGUAGCUAGUCUAACCCUCGGGAGGACGGUUACCACGG
rnacentral:rRNA from 1 species